UGAGGUCCCGGAGCACGGAGUAGAUGGAGCUGAACACGUUCAGGUAUGCCGCCGUGCCCACGUUGCCCUUGUCCGGCGGGAAGCUGAACACGGUGAUGGCUAGCCUCUUGUCCUCCUGCAGCAAACACAAGCAAAUCAGCAAGGAGUAGAAAUUCAGACAGUUGGCAUUUCUUUGCUAAACCUCGUAUUGUGCACCACAACCUACUUCUGAUUAAACCUGGCGUGAUGAUAAUUAUAGUUCUGAAAUUUGACUUUUCAUCAUUUAUUUGUGGUGUCCAUAUGUACAAGAUAUUGUUCGAUGGCACAAGAUCAAAACGUUAAUUGAUUGACUGAAUGAGCAGUUCCAGUUUUCAGUAA